rnacentral:rRNA from 1 species
CCCUUAGAUGUUCGGGGCCGCACGCGCGCUACACUGAAGGAAUCAGCACGUCUUUCUCCUUGUCCGAAAGGACUGGGUAACCCGCUGAACCUCCUUCGUGCUAGGGAUUGGGGCUUGUAAUUCUUCCCCAUGAACGAGGAAUUCCCAGUAAGCGCGAGUCAUAAGCUCGCGUUGAUUACGUCCCUGCCCUUUGUACACACCGCCCGUCGCUACUACCGAUUGGAUGGUUUAGUGAGAUCCUCGGAUUGGUCCCGGAGCGGCCUCUGGUCGUGCCGGUGUGCCGAAAAGAAUGUCGAACUUGAUCAUCUAGAGGAAGUAAAAGUCGUAACA